GACAAGGUUCCAGACCCUACGGGGUGCAGCAGGCGCGAAACCUCCGCAAUGUACGAAAGUGCGACGGGGGGAUCCCAAGUGUCAUGCUUUUUUGUAUGACUUUUCAUUAGUGUAAAAAGCUUUUAGAAUAAGAGCUGGGCAAGACCGGUGCCAGCCGCCGCGGUAACACCGGCAGCUCGAGUGGUAGCUGUUUUUAUUGGGCCUAAAGCGUUCGUAGCCGGUUUGAUAAGUCUUUGGUGAAAGCUUGUAGCUUAACUAUAAGAAUUGCUGGAGAUACUAUUAGACUUGAAGUCGGGAGAGGUUAGAGGUACUACCGGGGUAGGGGUGAAAUCCUAUAAUCCUGGGAGGACCACCUGUGGCGAAGGCGUCUAACUGGAACGAUCUUGACGGUGAGUAACGAAAGCCAGGGGCGCGAACCGGAUUAGAUACCCGGGUAGUCCUGGCCGUAAACGAUGUGGACUUGGUGUUGGAAUGGCUUUGAGUUGUUCCUGUGCCGAAGGGAAGCUGUUAAGUCCACCGCCUGGGAAGUACGGUCGCAAGACUGAAACUUAA
rnacentral:rRNA from 1 species